UGUCGGUUCGUCCUAGAAUCCCAUCAUUGGCACGCUGAACGCGCACCGCGACGCUUCGUUUCGGUUCGAUUCGGUUCCCGACUAGCUUCGUCUUCGUUUUACUUCGUCAAGUUCGUACUGGGGAGGAAGAGGAUAAGGAUAAGGAUAAAGAUAAGGAUAAGGAUUCGCAUGUCAGCGCUCGUCGACUCAGUGAUCUUUGUUGUGAUCUCCGUUCUGCCGCCCACGCGACAAUCGACACGUUAGUGUUGUAACGUUGUUAAUUUCAGCAGCGCCGUAUCGCCUAUAACCGAGAUAAAGAAAGACGAAGAAGAAGAAAAAGAGACGAUAGGAGGAACGAGCGUCAUAUUAUAUGAAAAAAGAAAGUUUGAACCUUGUAAUUAUCAGUCAUUUAUGAAGACUGACUUGUCCAUUGUAUACUGAGAAAAAAUUUCUCCCCCUCUUCACCGUGGUCGAGGAGAUCUCUUUUCAACUCCCUGACUUCGAUAAGAAUAUAUCAAAAGAAGAAGAAGAAGAAGAACAAGAAGAAGAAGAAGAACAAGACGAGGGAACAGGGAAUAGAAAAGCGAAA